rnacentral:lncRNA from 1 species
GGCGAGCGACCCGGCGCAAGGCCGGUAACGCGACAGGGGCCAAACAGACGCGAAACUCACGCUCUCUACGGCACGCUUGCGUCCUCACGCCAUCGAGCACGCGUGCGUCAUCACGCACGGACGCCCGAUCCUAGACGGGAGGAGGCGAGAAGGGGGCGUGCACGGCUUCUCUACCGGGCUCGCAGGGCCGGGUGGGGAAUGGGAGGGCCGUGAGGCAAUAUGCUUUUGGCUGGCAAUGAGAAACUGCAUUACUGGGAAUAGGAAGUCAAUUGAACAGAAAAGGAAAAAAUGGUGAAUUGUCUAUAAAAUGUUUUAUUUCCCUAGGAAAAAUUAAAAAUAAAUUUCUCAAAAAGAAGUGGUCUCCAUUUAUCCUGCUUUUUCAUGAUUAUAGGCAUCAAUUCAAUUAAUACCAAUCCUAUUGUCUAUUCUCUAAUAUCCUGCAUCCUUUGAUAAUUCCAUCAUUUUUUCUCGUCCUUAUCUUAAUAUAUCAAAUACAGAGGUGGCCCCU